rnacentral:rRNA from 1 species
GACGAACGCUGGCGGCGUGCUUAACACAUGCAAGUCGAACGGAAAGGCCCUGCUUGCAGGGUACUCGAGUGGCGAACGGGUGAGUAACACGUGGGUGAUCUGCCCUGCACUUCGGGAUAAGCCUGGGAAACUGGGUCUAAUACCGGAUAGGAGCCAUUUUUAGUGUGAUGGUUGGAAAGUUUUUUCGGUGUAGGAUGAGCUCGCGGCCUAUCAGCUUGUUGGUGGGGUAAUGGCCUACCAAGGCGGCGACGGGUAGCCGGCCUGAGAGGGUGGACGGCCACAAUGGGACUGAGAUACGGCCCAGACUCCUACGGGAGGCAGCAGUGGGGAAUAUUGCACAAUGGGCGCAAGCCUGAUGCAGCGACGCCGCGGGGGGGAUGACGGCCUUCGGGCUGUAAACUCCUUUCGCUAGGGACGAAGCUUUUUGUGACGGUACCUAGAUAAGAAGCACCGGCUAACUACGUG